GACGAACGCUGGCGGCGUGCUUAACACAUGCAAGUCGAACGGAAAGGCCCUGCUUUUGUGGGGUGCUCGAGUGGCGAACGGGUGAGUAACACGUGAGUAACCUGCCCUUGACUUUGGGAUAACUUCAGGAAACUGGGGCUAAUACCGGAUAGGAGCUCCUGCUGCAUGGUGGGGGUUGGAAAGUUUCGGCGGUUGGGGAUGGACUCGCGGCUUAUCAGCUUGUUGGUGGGGUAGUGGUUUACCAAGGGUUUGACGGGUAGCCGGCCUGAGAGGGUGACCGGCGACAUUGGGACUGAGAGACGGACCAGACUCCUACGGGAGGCAGCAGUGGGGAAUAUUGCACAAUGGGCGGAAGCCUGAUGCAGCAACGCCGGGUGCGGGAUGACGGCCUUCGGGUUGUAAACCGCUUUCGCAUGUGACGAAGCGUGAGUGACGGUAAUGGGUAAAGAAGCACCGGCUAACUACGUG
rnacentral:rRNA from 1 species